rnacentral:rRNA from 1 species
GACGAACGCUGGCGGCGUGCCUAAUACAUGUAAGUAGAACGCACAGUUUAUACCGUAGCUUGCUACACCAUAAACUGUGAGUUGCGAACGGGUGAGUAACGCGUAGGUAACCUGCCUGGUAGCGGGGGAUAACUAUUGGAAACGAUAGCUAAUACCGCAUAAUAAUGAUUAUUGCAUGAUAAUUGAUUGAAAGAUGCUAUUGCAUCACUACCAGAUGGACCUGCGUUGUAUUAGCUAGUAGGUGAGGUAACGGCUCACCUAGGCGACGAUACAUAGCCGACCUGAGAGGGUGAUCGGCCACACUGGGACUGAGACACGGCCCAGACUCCUACGGGAGGCAGCAGUAGGGAAUCUUCGGCAAUGGACGAAAGUCUGACCGAGCAACGCCGCGUGAGUGAAGAAGGUUUUCGGAUCGUAAAGCUCUGUUGUAAGAGAAGAACGGGUGUGAGAGUUGAAAGUUCACACUGUGACGGUAUCUUACCAGAAAGGGACGGCUAACUACGUG